rnacentral:rRNA from 1 species
UCGUCAGCUCGUGUUGUGAAAUGUUGGGUUAAGUCCCGCAACGAGCGCAACCCUUAUCCUUUGUUGCCAGCGAUUCGGUCGGGAACUCAAAGGAGACUGCCGGUGAUAAACCGGAGGAAGGUGGGGGUGACGUCAAGUCAUCAUGGCCCUUACGAGUAGGGCUACACACGUGCUACAAUGGCGCAUACAAAGAGAAGCGAUCUUGCGAGAGUCAGCGGACCUCAUAAAGUGCGUCGUAGUCCGGAUUGGAGUCUGCAACUCGACUCCAUGAAGUCGGAAUCGCUAAUAACCGUGAAUCAGAAUGCCAUGGUGAAUACGUUCCCGGGCCUUGUACACACCGCCCGUCACACCAUGGGAGUGGGUUGCAAAAGAAGUAGGUAGCUUAACCUUCGGGAGGGCG